rnacentral:rRNA from 1 species
UAUUGCACAAUGGGCGAAAGCCUGAUGCAGCAACGCCGCGUGAGCGAUGAAGGCUUUCGGGUCGUAAAGCUCUGUCCUCAAGGAAGAUAAUGACGGUACUUGAGGGGGAAGCUCCGGCUAACUACGUGCCAGCAGCCGCGGUAAUACGUAGGGGGCUAGCGUUAUCCGGAAUUAAUGGGCGUAAAGGGAGCGUAGGUGGUUUCUUAAGUCAGAGGUGAAAGGCUACGGCUCAACCGUAGUAAGCCUUUGAAACUGGGAAACUUGAGUGCAGGAGAGGAGAGUGGAAUUCCUAGUGUAGCGGUGAAAUGCGUAGAGAUUAGGAGGAACACCAGUUGCGAAGGCGGCUCUCUGGACUGUAACUGACACUGAGGCACGAAAGUGUGGGUAUCAAACA